GACAGAGGAUGCAAGCGUUAUCCGGAAUGAUUGGGCGUAAAGCGUCUGUAGGUGGCUUUUUAAGUCCGCCGUCAAAUCCCAGGGCUCAACCCUGGACAGGCGGUGGAAACUACCAAGCUGGAGUACGGUAGGGGCAGAGGGAAUUCCGGUGGAGCGGUGAAAUGCGUAGAGAUCGGGAAGAACACCAACGGCGAAAGCACUCCGCUGGGCUGAUACUGACACUGACAGACGAAAGCUAGGGUAGCGAAAGGG
rnacentral:rRNA from 1 species